rnacentral:rRNA from 1 species
UACGAAGGGGGCUAGCGUUGCUCGGAAUCACUGGGCGUAAAGGGUGCGUAGGCGGGUCUUUAAGUCAGGGGUGAAAUCCUGGAGCUCAACUCCAGAACUGCCUUUGAUACUGAAGAUCUUGAGUUCGGGAGAGGUGAGUGGAACUGCGAGUGUAGAGGUGAAAUUCGUAGAUAUUCGCAAGAACACCGGUGGCGAAGGCGGCUCACUGGCUCAUUACUGACGCUCAUGCGCGACAGCGUGGGGAUCAAACAGG